UACGGAGGGAGCUAGCGUUGUUCGGAAUUACUGGGCGUAAAGCGCACGUAGGCGGCUAUUCAAGUCAGAGGUGAAAGCCCGGGGCUCAACCCCGGAACUGCCUUUGAAACUAGGUAGCUAGAAUCUUGGAGAGGCGAGUGGAAUUCCGAGUGUAGAGGUGAAAUUCGUAGAUAUUCGGAAGAACACCAGUGGCGAAAGCGACUCGCUGGACAAGUAUUGACGCUGAGGUGCGAAAGCGUGGGGAGCAAACAGG
rnacentral:rRNA from 1 species